GAUUAAGUUAUUAAGGGCGCACGGUGAAUGCCUUGGCACUAGAAGCCGAUGAAGGACGUUACUAACGACGAUAUGCUUUGGGGAGCUGUAAGUAAGCUGUGAUCCA
rnacentral:rRNA from 1 species